GCGGAGUGGCGGACGGGUGAGUAACACGUGGGGAACCUAUCCAUCAGCGGGGGAUAACACUUGGAAACAGGUGCUAAUACCGCAUACGGNCUUUUUUUCACCUGAAAGAAAGCUCAAAGGCGCUUUACAGCGUCACUGAUGGCUGGCCCCGCGGUGCAUUAGCCAGUUGGUGAGGUAACGGCUCACCAAAGCAACGAUGCAUAGCCGACCUGAGAGGGUGAUCGGCCACACUGGGACUGAGACACGGCCCAGACUCCUACGGGAGGCAGCAGUAGGGAAUCUUCGGCAAUGGACGCAAGUCUGACCGAGCAACGCCGCGUGAGUGAAGAAGGUUUUCGGAUCGUAAAGCUCUGUUGUCAGCAAAGAACAGGAGAAAGAGGCAAUGCUUUUUCUAUGACGGUAGCUGACCAGAAAGCCACGGCUAACUACGUGCCAGCAGCCGCGGUAAUACGUAGGUGGCAAGCGUUGUCCGGAUUUAUUGGGCGUAAAGCGAGCGCAGGCGGUGAUUUAAGUCUGAUGUGAAAGCCCCCAGCUCAACUGGGGAGGGUCAUUGGAAACUGGAUCACUUGAGUG
rnacentral:rRNA from 1 species